UAGUAAUUAGUUUAAAUAAAACAAAUGAUUUCGACUCAUUAGACUGUGACCAUUUCACAAUUACUAA
rnacentral:tRNA from 1 species